rnacentral:rRNA from 1 species
GGGACACGUGGUAUCCUGUCUGAAUAUGGGGGGACCAUCCUCCAAGGCUAAAUACUCCUGACUGACCGAUAGUGAACCAGUACCGUGAGGGAAAGGCGAAAAGAACCCCGGCGAGGGGAGUGAAAAAGAACCUGAAACCGUGUACGUACAAGCAGUGGGAGCACGCUUAGGCGUGUGACUGCGUACCUUUUGUAUAAUGGGUCAGCGACUUAUAUUCUGUAGCAAGGUUAACCGAAUAGGGGAGCCGAAGGGAAACCGAGUCUUAACUGGGCGUUAAGUUGCAGGGUAUAGACCCGAAACCCGGUGAUCUAGCCAUGGGCAGGUUGAAGGUUGGGUAACACUAACUGGAGGACCGAACCGACUAAUGUUGAAAAAUUAGCGGAUGACUUGUGGCUGGGGGUGAAAGGCCAAUCAAACCGGGAGAUAGCUGGUUCUCCCCGAAAGCUAUUUAGGUAGCGCCUCGUGAAUUCAUCUCCGGGGGUAGAGCACUGUUUCGGCAAGGGGGUCAUCCCGACUUACCAACCCGAUGCAAACUGCGAAUACCGGAGAAUGUUAUCACGGGAGACACACGGCGGGUGCUAACGUCCGUCGUGAAGAGGGAAACAACCCAGACCGCCAGCUAAGGUCCCAAAGUCAUGGUUAAGUGGGAAACGAUGUGGGAAGGCCCAGACAGCCAGGAUGUUGGCUUAGAAGCAGCCAUCAUUUAAAGAAAGCGUAAUAGCUCACUGGUCGAGUCGGCCUGCGCGGAAGAUGUAACGGGGCUAAACCAUGCACCGAAGCUGCGGCAGCGACGCUUAUGCGUUGUUGGGUAGGGGAGCGUUCUGUAAGCCUGUGAAGGUGUGCUGUGAGGCAUGCUGGAGGUAUCAGAAGUGCGAAUGCUGACAUAAGUAACGAUAAAGCGGGUGAAAAGCCCGCUCGCCGGAAGACCAAGGGUUCCUGUCCAACGUUAAUCGGGGCAGGGUGAGUCGACCCCUAAGGCGAGGCCGAAAGGCGUAGUCGAUGGGAAACAGGUUAAUAUUCCUGUACUUGGUGUUACUGCGAAGGGGGGACGGAGAAGGCUAUGUUGGCCGGGCGACGGUUGUCCCGGUUUAAGCGUGUAGGCUGGUUUUCCAGGCAAAUCCGGAAAAUCAAGGCUGAGGCGUGAUGACGAGGCACUACGGUGCUGAAGCAACAAAUGCCCUGCUUCCAGGAAAAGCCUCUAAGCAUCAGGUAACAUCAAAUCGUACCCCAAACCGACACAGGUGGUCAGGUAGAGAAUACCAAGGCGCUUGAGAGAACUCGGGUGAAGGAACUAGGCAAAAUGGUGCCGUAACUUCGGGAGAAGGCACGCUGAUAUGUAGGUGAAGUCCCUUGCGGAUGGAGCUGAAAUCAGUCGAAGAUACCAGCUGGCUGCAACUGUUUAUUAAAAACACAGCACUGUGCAAACACGAAAGUGGACGUAUACGGUGUGACGCCUGCCCGGUGCCGGAAGGUUAAUUGAUGGGGUCAGCGCAAGCGAAGCUCUUGAUCGAAGCCCCGGUAAACGGCGGCCGUAACUAUAACGGUCCUAAGGUAGCGAAAUUCCUUGUCGGGUAAGUUCCGACCUGCACGAAUGGCGUAAUGAUGGCCAGGCUGUCUCCACCCGAGACUCAGUGAAAUUGAACUCGCUGUGAAGAUGCAGUGUACCCGCGGCAAGACGGAAAGACCCCGUGAACCUUUACUAUAGCUUGACACUGAACAUUGAGCCUUGAUGUGUAGGAUAGGUGGGAGGCUUUGAAGUGUGGACGCCAGUCUGCAUGGAGCCGACCUUGAAAUACCACCCUUUAAUGUUUGAUGUUCUAACGUUGACCCGUAAUCCGGGUUGCGGACAGUGUCUGGUGGGUAGUUUGACUGGGGCGGUCUCCUCCUAAAGAGUAACGGAGGAGCACGAAGGUUGGCUAAUCCUGGUCGGACAUCAGGAGGUUAGUGCAAUGGCAUAAGCCAGCUUGACUGCGAGCGUGACGGCGCGAGCAGGUGCGAAAGCAGGUCAUAGUGAUCCGGUGGUUCUGAAUGGAAGGGCCAUCGCUCAACGGAUAAAAGGUACUCCGGGGAUAACAGGCUGAUACCGCCCAAGAGUUCAUAUCGACGGCGGUGUUUGGCACCUCGAUGUCGGCUCAUCACAUCCUGGGGCUGAAGUAGGUCCCAAGGGUAUGGCUGUUCGCCAUUUAAAGUGGUACGCGAGCUGGGUUUAGAACGUCGUGAGACAGUUCGGUCCCUA